UUGAACGCUGGCGGUAUGCUUUACACAUGCAAGUCGAACGGGCUAUGGGGCUUGCUCCAUAGUUAGUGGCGAACGGGUGAGUAAUAUAUCGGAACAUAUCCGGAAGUGGGGGAUAACGUAGCGAAAGUUACGCUAAUACCGCAUAUGCCCCGAGGGGGAAAGGGGGGGAUCGCAAGACCUCUCGCUUUCGGAGUGGCCGAUAUCGGAUUAGCUAGUUGGUGAGGUAAAGGCUCACCUAGGCGACGAUCCGUAGCUGGUCUGAGAGGACGACCAGCCACACUGGAACUGAGACACGGUCCAGACUCCUACGGGAGGCAGCAGUGGGGAAUUUUGGACAAUGGGCGCAAGCCUGAUCCAGCAAUGCCGCGUGAAUGAAGAAGGCCUUCGGGUUGUAAAGCGCUUUCAGCCGGAGAGAAAAUGCUUCUACUAAUACUAGGAGUACAUGACGGUACCGGAAGAAGAAGCACCGGCUAACUACGU
rnacentral:rRNA from 1 species